UAGGAUCGUCCAUAGAGAUGGGUUUUCAUUUCACACUUGAUAUUAAUUUAAAGAAUUGGAUUGGUGUUUUUUCUUUUACAAGUUAGCUUUAAAAGAAAACAUAAUCUUUGGUUGAAAAAGGUUGGUUUUAAGCUAACCAAAAAUAGUAACUGAUUUUAAUUACAAAGAAAAGGUUUCUUGGAUUUUCAGGUCACUAGGUUCAGGCUCCUUAUACAAA
rnacentral:lncRNA from 1 species